UGCCUCAGUAACGGCGAGUGAAGCGGCAAGAGCUCAAAUUUGAAAGCUGGCUCCUUCGGGGUCCGCAUUGUAAUUUGCAGAGGAUGCUUCGGGAGCGGCCCCCAUCUAAGUGCCCUGGAACGGGCCGUCAUAGAGGGUGAGAAUCCCGUCUGGGAUGGGGUGCCCGCGCCCGUGUGAAGCUCCUUCGACGAGUCGAGUUGUUUGGGAAUGCAGCUCUAAAUGGGUGGUAAAUUUCAUCUAAAGCUAAAUACUGGCCGGAGACCGAUAGCGCACAAGUAGAGUGAUCGAAAGAUGAAAAGCACUUUGAAAAGAGAGUUAAACAGCACGUGAAAUUGUUGAAAGGGAAGCGCUUGCGACCAGACUCGCCCGCGGGGUUCAGCCGGCACUCGUGCCGGUGUACUUCCCCGCGGGCGGGCCAGCGUCGGUUUGGGCGGCCGGUCAAAGGCCCUCGGAAUGUAACGCCCCCCGGGGCGUCUUAUAGCCGAGGGUGCCAUGCGGCCAGCCCGGACCGAGGAACGCGCUUCGGCUCGGACGCUGGCAUAAUGGUCG
rnacentral:rRNA from 1 species